UGUAUCGGAAGCCUGACGAGGAUGAGAACCUCCGGGGGCAAGAGGUUCGACUCGAGCGCAGCGAGAGAACGUUGCGUCAGCAACGGCCCGCAGGGCGAGCCACGCAGUGGCGAGUCA
rnacentral:sRNA from 1 species